rnacentral:rRNA from 1 species
GACGAACGCUGGCGGCGUGCUUAACACAUGCAAGUCGAACGCCGAAGCCCAGCUUGCUGGGUGGAUGAGUGGCGAACGGGUGAGUAACACGUGAGUAACCUGCCCCCUUCUUUGGGAUAACGCCCGGAAACGGGUGCUAAUACUGGAUACUCACUGGCUUUCGCAUGGGGGUUGGUGGAAAGGUUUUUUCUGGUGGGGGAUGGGCUCGCGGCCUAUCAGCUUGUUGGUGGGGUGAUGGCCUACCAAGGCUUUGACGGGUAGCCGGCCUGAGAGGGUGACCGGUCACAUUGGGACUGAGAUACGGCCCAGACUCCUACGGGAGGCAGCAGUGGGGAAUAUUGCACAAUGGGCGAAAGCCUGAUGCAGCGACGCCGCGUGAGGGAUGACGGCCUUCGGGUCGUAAACCUCUUUCGCUCAUGGUCAAGCCGCAGCUUUGGGUUGUGGUGAGGGUAGUGGGUAAAGAAGCGCCGGCUAACUACGUGCCAGCAGCCGCGGUAAUACGUAGGGCGCGAGCGUUGUCCGGAAUUAUUGGGCGUAAAGGGCUUGUAGGCGGUUGGUCGCGUCUGCCGUGAAGUCCUCUGGCUUAACUGGGGGGCGUGCGGUGGUUACGGGCUGACUUGAGUGCGGUAGGGGAGACUGGAACUCCUGGUGUAGCGGUGGAAUGCGCAAAAAUCAGGAAUAAACCGGUGGCGAAGGCGGUCUCUGGGCCGUUACUGACGCUCAGGAGCAAAGCUGGUGAACAAU